AUUGAACGCUGGCGGCAGGCCUAACACAUGCAAGUCGAACGAGUGGCGGACGGGUGAGUAAUGUCUGGGAAACUGCCUGAUGGAGGGGGAUAACUACUGGAAACGGUAGCUCAUACCGCAUACCAUCAGAUGUGCCCAGAUGGGAUUAGCUUUUUGGUGGGGUAACGGCUCACCCAGGCGACGAUCCCUAGCUGGUCUGUGAGGAUGACCAGCCACACUGGAACUGAGACAAGGUCCAGACUCCGACGUGAGGCAGCAGUGGGGAAUAUUGAAAAAUGGGCGCAAGCCUGAGGCAGCCAGGCCGCGUGUAUGAAGAAGGCAUUCGGGGUGUAAAGUACUUGCAGCGGGGAGGCGUUACCCGCAGAAGAAGCACCGGCUAACUCCGUGCCAGCAGCCGCGGUAAUUC
rnacentral:rRNA from 1 species